rnacentral:rRNA from 1 species
AACGAACGCUGGCGGCGUGCUUAACACAUGCAAGUCGAACGCGAAAGUUUUCUUCGGAAAGCGAGUAGAGUGGCGCACGGGUGAGUAACGCGUAAGUAAUCUACCCUGGUAUCUGGGAUAACCAACCGAAAGGUUGGCUAAUACCGGAUACGCUGGUAACAGGAAAGGUGGCCUCUUCAUGAAAGCUACUGUACCAGGAGGAGCUUGCGUACCAUUAGCUAGUUGGUAGGGUAAUGGCCUACCAAGGCGACGAUGGUUAGCGGGUCUGAGAGGAUGAUCCGCCACACUGGAACUGGAACACGGACCAGACUCCUACGGGAGGCAGCAGUGAGGAAUAUUGCGCAAUGGGGGAAACCCUGACGCAGCGACGCCGCGUGGAUGAUGAAGGCC